CUAAUUUUAGAAACUCUUUGGACUAGACAAGCCAGCAGUGGCCUGGUUUGCUUUUUAGAAGAAUUAGAAGAAAUACCAUGACAAAUAUGUUAAAUAUUCACUGUUAAGAAUGAACCAUAGGACCACGGUUCUGCUGUCUCCAAAUGGCACCUCCAGAAUUUCUUUCAGUUUAACAUUACUAACAUCCUGCUGCCUUGAUUGAGGCAAGAUGAAGAAAUGAAUCGGGCCAAGGAUCUGAACACAGAAAGGACAGAAGACCCGCACUAUCUGUGAUGGGCACAGUAAGCCCUGGAGGAAAGGGGAGUCCUACAUCUGCACCAGUUAGGUACCUCCAGAGAGAGCAUCCCCUCUCAUCCCCGCAACAGUCUGUUCUUAUUCUUCACAGUAAUAUUCCAGCAAGUCGCCACAGACAUGGAAUUAGCACAUACUGAGCCAUUGCUCCUAGGGGGAAAUGCAGAGUUAGGUUCCCGUGAGCCCCUGGUCGCAACAUUUCAUCAACCAAUCAAAAUAUGACCUUGUUU